rnacentral:pre_miRNA from 1 species
UCUUCAUUUCCCACACUCUCUCGCCUCUCUGACCGGUGAGAGAGUGUGGGAAAUGAAGACA